rnacentral:lncRNA from 10 species
GCCAAAAUGACCUGUGAGCUAUCACCAACCCUGACAUGCUGGGAUUCUAUGGAAGGUUUUAUAUUGCAAAGAAAGGUUAAGUCCCCAUUUGACAGAUAUUUUUGAUUGAUGCCAUCAUGAAGUAAAGAUUAGAGAAUGACAAAAUAAUAGAAUUUACCAGAUGCUGAAUCAGAAGUAUUUUCUCCUUUUGGAAAGUAAUGUGCCUCACGAUUGCCUCCACACGUGCCUUCGAGGUUAGCUGGUCAGAAUGAGAUUGCUUAGAGUGGCCAGAGAAGGCAAAGAUGUUCUUAUGUCCUGAAUAUGCUUUUUCUUGAAAUCAUGUUUUGCUCUUUUAAAAUCAGUUUAAAGAUACAUUCUCUUUUUCUGGUUUGGCCCCCUAGCAUUUUUUAUAUGUUCUGUUGAGAUAAGUAUUGCUUAAAUGAAUCGUUUAUUGAAGGAAAAAUGAUCUGUUUUCCUUAUUUCAAGACUUAUCACCCUCCCUUUGGAAGAGACAAUGGAUUAUUUCAGAAACUGCAUGGUUCUGAGGUGCUCCUAGCAUAGGUCAGUUUUUUCUAUCUGCACUUGAGCAGCUUUCUUUAACAGAAUUUUGAGUCUCCCUUUUCCGUUUCAGAAGUUGAGGGUCAUUUGCUAAUAGAGAAUAGUAAGCUGUCAUUUCACUCUUGCUACCCAUACACAGAAUUUUUUUGGGUUCAUUUCUUCAGUACAUUCAAGGAAACACCAAUGUAAUUGCAAUCCAACUGGUAAAUAAAAAUUGU